GCCGCUGUAGCUCAACUGGUAGAGCAACUGACUUGUAAUCAGUAGGUUGGGGGUUCAAGUCCUCUCGGCGGCA
rfam:Paenibacillus sp. D9 Scaffold7, whole genome shotgun sequence.